rnacentral:rRNA from 1 species
UACGAAGGGUGCAAGCGUUACUCGGAAUUACUGGGCGUAAAGCGUGCGUAGGUGGUUUGUUAAGUCUGAUGUGAAAGCCCUGGGCUCAACCUGGGAACUGCAUUGGAAACUGGCUUACUAGAGUGCGGUAGAGGGUAGUGGAAUUCCCGGUGUAGCAGUGAAAUGCGUAGAUAUCGGGAGGAACAUCUGUGGCGAAGGCGACUACCUGGACCAGCACUGACACUGAGGCACGAAAGCGUGGGGAGCAAACAGG